UCGCAACACCCAUGUUAAUAGUAUACAACGACAAAAUGUCUACAACUGUGACAGAUCCUAUAAAUAUGAAGAAACAAAAUUGAGGUGUUCGGAAUACACAUAUCUCCUUAAGCAUAAUAUCGAUGACGUCAAAAUCAUUAAUUGAAUUUACAUUUGAUCGAAGUUGAUGUAUCAAUUUGAAUGAAAGAACACUACAACAAGACAAGAAACCAAUAUGUUACACCAAGAUGAUGAACAAACACAACGCCACACUGAGAUGAC
rnacentral:lncRNA from 1 species